GUCUACAGCCAUACCACCCUGAACACACCCGAUCUUGUCUGAUCUCAGAAGCUAAGCAGGGUCAGGCCUGGUUAGUACUUGGAUGGGAGAGUAGAAGCUGGAAAAUGUAGGGC
ensembl:rRNA 5S_rRNA 5S ribosomal RNA